rnacentral:rRNA from 1 species
UGAGUACGAGCUGCUACGGCAGCGAAGUGGGUGAUGUCAUGCUUCCAAGAAAAGCCCUAUACCCGUUAAGGCAUGAUGGCCUGUACCCGAAACCGACACAGGUGGGGUGGUAGAGAAUACCGAGGGGCGCGAGGUAACUCUCUCUAAGGAACUCGGCAAAAUGGCCCCGUAACUUCGGGAGAAGGGGUGCCACCGCAAGGUGGUCGCAGUGAAGAGGCCCAGGCGACUGUUUACCAAAAACACAGGUCUCCGCUAAGUCGCAAGACGAUGUAUGGGGGCUGACGCCUGCCCAGUGCCGGAAGGUUAAGGAAGCUGGUCAGCGUAAGCGAAGCUAGCGACUGAAGCCCCGGUGAACGGCGGCCGUAACUAUAACGGUCCUAAGGUAGCGAAAUUCCUUGUCGGGUAAGUUCCGACCCGCACGAAAGGCGUAACGAUCUGGGCGCUGUCUCGGAGAGAGGCUCGGCGAAAUAGAAUUGUCUGUGAAGAUGCGGACUACGUGCACCCGGACAGAAAGACCCUAUGAAGCUUUACUGUAGCUUGGUAUUGUGCUCGGGCUCGGAAUGCGCAGGAUAGGUGGGAGGCUAUGAGCCAUUGCUUGUGGGUGAUGGUGAGCCACUGGUGAGAUACCACUCUUUCCGAGCUAGAGUACUAACAGCCACCCGUUAUCCGGGGGCUGGACAGUAUCAGGUGGGCAGUUUGACUGGGGCGGUCGCCUCCUAAAAGGUAACGGAGGCGCGCAAAGGUUUGCUCAGGCUGGUUGGAAAUCAGCCGACGAGUGUAAAAGCAGAAGCAAGCUUGACUGUGAGACCUACAAGUCGAACAGGGAGGAAACUCGGCUUUAGUGAUCCGACGGUUCUGCGUGGAAGGGCCGUCGCUCAACGGAUAAAAGUUACUCUAAGGAUAACAGGCUGAUCUCCCCCAAGAGUUCACAUCGACGGGGAGGUUUGGCACCUCGAUGUCGGCUCAUCGCAACCUGGGGCUGAAGUCGGUCCCAAGGGUUGGGCUGUUCGCCCAUUAAAGCGGUACGCGAGCUGGGUUCAGAACGUCGUGAGGCAGUUCGGUCCAUAUCCGGUGCAUGCGCAGGAAUAUUGAGAGGAUUUCUCCCUAGUACGAGUGGACCGGGAGGAACGCACCUCUGGUGUACCAGUUAUCGUGCCAACGGUAAACGCUGGGUAGCCAUGUGCGGAGAGGAUAACCGCUGAAAGCAUCUAAGUGGGAAGCCCACCUCAAGAUGAGUAUUCCCAUGGGGUAACCCAGUAAGGUCACGGGAAGAACACCCGUUGAUAGGCUCUACGUGGAAGCGCAGUAAUGUGUGAAGCGGAGGAGUACUAAUAGACCGAGGGCUUGAA